UCGCGGCUUAUCACCGGCAGUCCCUUUAGAGUGCCCAACUGAAUGAUGGCAACUAAAGGCGAGGGUUGCGCUCGUUGCGGGACUUAACCCAACAUCUCACGACACGAGCUGACGACAGCCAUGCACCACCUGUGCUCCACCCUCUAAGGCGACCACUUUUCGGCGGCUUGCAGAAGCAUGUCAAGCCCUGGUAAGGUUCUUCGCGUUGCAUCGAAUUAAGCCAUAUGCUCCACCGCUUGUGCGGGCCCCCGCCAAUUCCUUUGAGUUUCAACCUUGCGGCCGUAGUCCCCAGGCGGUUCACUUAAUGCGUUAGCUGCGGCACCGAGGGUUACCCCCCAACACCUAGUGAACAUCGUUUAUGGCCAAGACUAC
rnacentral:misc_RNA from 1 species